UGGGGAAUAUUGCACAAUGGGCGAAAGCCUGAUGCAGCAACGCCGCGUGAGUGAUGAAGGCCUUCGGGUUGUAAAGCUCUGUCUUUUGGGACGAUAAUGACGGUACCAAAGGAGGAAGCCACGGCUAACUACGUGCCAGCAGCCGCGGUAAUACGUAGGUGGCAAGCGUUGUCCGGAUUUACUGGGCGUAAAGGAUGCGUAGGCGGAUUUUUAAGUGAGAUGUGAAAUACCCGGGCUUAACUUGGGUGCUGCAUUUCAAACUGGGAGUCUAGAGUGCGGGAGAGGAGAAUGGAAUUCCUAGUGUAGCGGUGAAAUGCGUAGAGAUUAGGAAGAACACCAGUGGCGAAGGCGAUUCUCUGGACCGUAACUGACGCUGAGGCAUGAAAGCGUGGGUAGCAAACAGGAUUAGAUACCCUGGUAGUCCACGCCGUAAACGAUGAGUACUAGGUGUAGGAGGUAUCGACCCCUUCUGUGCCGCAGUUAACACAAUAAGUACUCCGCCU
rnacentral:rRNA from 1 species